AUUAUGGAGAGUUUGAUCCUGGCUCAGGAUGAACGCUGGCGGCGUGCCUAAUACAUGCAAGUCGAGCGAAUUGACAGAGGUG
rnacentral:rRNA from 1 species